GCCGCGGUAGCUCAGUCGGUAGAGCAGAGGACUGAAAAUCCUCGUGUCGGCAGUUCGAUUCUGCCUUGCGGCACCA
rnacentral:tRNA from 1 species